AUGGACACAGCUACAGCAGAGACACAGAUACAGCACAGACACAGCUACAGCAGAGACACAGCUACAGCAGAGACACAUACACAGCUACAGACACAGCUACAGCACGAACACAGACACAGCUACAGCACAGACACAGACACAGCUACAGCACGGACACAGCUACAGCAGAGACACAGCUACAGCAGAGACACAGCUACAGCAGAGACACAGACACAGCACAGACACAGCUACAGCACAGACACAAACACAGCUACAGCACAGACACAGACACAAACACAGCUACAGCACAGACACAGCUACAGCACAGACACAAACACAGCUACAGCACAGACACAGACACAGCUACAGCACAGACACAGCUACAGACACAGCUACAACACAGACACAGCUACAGACACAGCUACAGCACAGCUACAGACACAGCUACAACACAGACACAGCUACAGCACAGACACAAACACAGCUACAGCACAGACACACACACAGACACAGCUACAGCACAGACGCAGCUACAGCACAGACGCAGCUACAACACAGACACAGCUACAGCACAGACACACCUACAGCACACACACAGCUACAGCACGAACACAGACACAGCUACAGCACAGACGCAGCUACAGCACGGACGCGGACACAGCGACAGCACGGACACAGACCCAGCUACAGCACAGACACAGCUACAGCACAGACACAGCUACAGCACGGACACAGCUACAGCACGGACACAGACACAGCUACAGCACAGACACAGACACAGCUACAGCACGGACACAGCUACAGACACAGCUACAGCAGAGACACAGCUACAGCACAGACACAGCUACAGCACAGGCACAGACACAGACACAAACACAGCUACAGCACAAACACAGCUACAGCACAGACACAGACACAGCUACAGCACAGACACAGCUACAGACACAGCUACAACACAGACACAGCUACAGACACAGCUACAGCACAGACACAGCUACAGCACAGACACAAACACAGCUACAGCACAGACACACACACAGACACAGCUACAGCACAGACGCAGCUACAGCACAGACGCAGCUACAGCACAGACACACCUACAGCACACACACAGCUACAGCACGAACACAGACGCAGCUACAGCACAGACGCAGCUACAGCACAGACGCAGCUACAGCACGGACGCUGCUACAGCACGGACGCAGACACACCUACAGCACAGACACAGCGACAGCACGGACACAGACACAGCUACAGCACAGACACAGCUACAGCAGAGACACAGCUACAGCAGAGACACAGACACAGCUACAGCACAGACACAGCUACAGCACGGACACAGACACAGCUACAGCACGGACACAGACACAGCUACAGCACAGACACACACAGACACAGCUACAGACACAGCUACAACACAGACACAGCUACAGACACAGCUACAACACAGACACAGCUACAGCAGAGACACAGCUACAGCACAGACACAGCUACAGCAGAGACACAGACACAAACACAGCUACAGCACAGACACAGCUACAGCACAGACACAGCUACAGCUACAGACACAGCUACAGCAGAGACACAGCUACAGCAGAGACACAGCUACAGCACAGACACAGCUACAGACACAGCUACAGACACAGCUACAGACACAGCUACAGCACAAACACAGCUACAGCACAGACACAAACACAGCUACAGCACAGACACAGACACAGCUACAGCACAGACACAGCUACAGCACGGACACAGCUACAGCACGGACACAGCUACAGCACAGACACAGCUACAGCACAGACACACACAGCUACAGACACAGCUACAACACAGACACAGCUACAGACACAGCUACAGACACAGCUACAGCACAGCUACAGACAGAGCUACCACACAGACACAGCUACAGCACCGACACAAACACAGCUACAGCACAGACACACACAGACACAGCUACAACACACGCACAGCUACAACACGAACACAGACACAGCUACAGCACGGACGCAGCUACAGCACGGACGCAGACACAGCGACAGCACGGACACUGACACAGCUACAGCACAGUCACAGCUACAGCACAGACAGACACAGCUACAGCAGAGACACAGCUACAGCAGAGACACAGACACAGCUACAGCACAGACACAGCUACAGCAGAGACACAGACACAGCUACAGCAGAGACACAGCUACAGACACAGCACAGACACAGCUACAGCACAGACAGACACAGCUACAGCACAGACGCAGCUACAGCACGGACACAGCUACAGCACGGAAGCAGCUACAGCACAGACGCAGCUACAGCACGGACGCAGCUACAGCACGGAAGCAGCUACAGCACAGACGCAGCUACAGCACGGACACAGCUACAGCACGGAUGCAGCUACAGCACAGACGCAGCUACAGCACGGACACAGCUACAGCACGGAUGCAGCUACAGCACGGACGCAGACACACCUACAGCACAGACACAGCGACAGCACGGACACGGACACAGCUACAGCACAGACACAGCUACAGCAGAGACACAGCUACAGCAGAGACACAGCUACAACACAGACACAGCUACAGCACAGACGCAGCUACAGCACAGCUACAGCACAGACACACACAGACACAGCUACAGCACAGACACAGCUACAGCACGGACACAGCUACAGCACGGACACAGCUACAGACACAGCUACAGCACAGACACAGCUACAGCACAGACACAGCUACAGCACAGACACAGACACAGCUUCAGCACAGACACAGCUUCAACACGGGCACAGCUUCAACACAG
rnacentral:lncRNA from 15 species